rnacentral:rRNA from 1 species
UACGUAGGGAGCAAGCGUUGUCCGGAAUCAUUGGGCGUAAAGAGCGUGUAGGCGGUUCGGUAAGUCUGCCGUGAAAACCUGGGGCUCAACCCUGGGCGUGCGGUGGAUACUGCCGGGCUAGAGGGUGGUAGAGGCGAGUGGAAUUCCCGGUGUAGCGGUGAAAUGCGCAGAUAUCGGGAGGAACACCAGUAGCGAAGGCGGCUCGCUGGGCCAUUCCUGACGCUGAGACGCGAAAGCUAGGGGAGCGAACAGG